GUGCACGCUGGCGGUAGGCCUCACACCUGCAAGUCGCACGGCAGCACAGUAAGAGCUUGCUCUUACGGGUGGCGAGUGGCGGACGGGUGAGGAAUACAUCGGAAUCUACUUUUUCGUGGGGGAUAACGUAGGGAAACUUACGCUAAUACCGCAUACGACCUACGGGUGAAAGCAGGGGAUCUUCGGACCUUGCGCGAUUGAAUGAGCCGAUGUCGGAUUAGCUAGUUGGCGGGGUAAAGGCCCACCAAGGCGACGAUCCGUAGCUGGUCUGAGAGGAUGAUCAGCCACACUGGAACUGAGACACGGUCCAGACUCCUACGGGAGGCAGCAGUGGGGAAUAUUGGACAAUGGGCGCAAGCCUGAUCCAGCCAUACCGCGUGGGUGAAGAAGGCCUUCGGGUUGUAAAGCCCUUUUGUUGGGAAAGAAAAGCAGCAGGUUAAUACCCCGCUGUUCUGACGGUACCCAAAGAAUAAGCACCGGCUAACUUCGUGC
rnacentral:rRNA from 1 species